AUUGAACGCUGGCGGCAUGCCUUACACAUGCAAGUCGAACGGUAACAGGUCUUCGGAUGCUGACGAGUGGCGAACGGGUGAGUAAUACAUCGGAACGUGCCUAGUAGUGGGGGAUAACUACUCGAAAGAGUGGCUAAUACCGCAUGAGAUCUACGGAUGAAAGCAGGGGAUCGCAAGACCUUGUGCUACUAGAGCGGCCGAUGGCAGAUUAGGUAGUUGGUGGGAUAAAAGCUUACCAAGCCGACGAUCUGUAGCUGGGCUGAGAGGACGAUCAGCCACACUGGGACUGAGACACGGCCCAGACUCCUACGGGAGGCAGCAGUGGGGAAUUUUGGACAAUGGGCGCAAGCCUGAUUCAGCAAUGCCGCGUGCAGGAUGAAGGCCUUCGGGUUGUAAACUGCUUUUGUACGGAACGAAAAGCCCCGGGUUAAUACCCUGGGGUCAUGACGGUACCGUAAGAAUAAGCACCGGCUAACUACGUGCCAGCCGCCGCAGUAA
rnacentral:rRNA from 1 species